GCCAGGUGCAGUGGUGCAUGCCUGUAAUCCCAGCAACUUGGGAGGCUGAGUCAGGAGGAUCCAAGUUUGAGGCUAGCCUCAACAAUUUAGUGAGCCCCUGUCUCAA
rnacentral:sRNA from 1 species